rnacentral:rRNA from 1 species
AACGAACGCUGGCGGCAUGCCUAACACAUGCAAGUCGAACGAGACCUUCGGGUCUAGUGGCGCACGGGUGCGUAACGCGUGGGAACCUGCCCUUAGGUUCGGAAUAACUCCCGGAAAGGGGUGCUAAUACCGGAUAAUGUCUUCGGACCAAAGAUUUAUCGCCUUUGGAUGGGCCCGCGUUGGAUUAGCUGGUUGGUAGGGUAAAAGCCAACCAAGGCGACGAUCCAUAGCUGGUCUGAGAGGAUGAUCAGCCACACUGGGACUGAGACACGGCCCAGACUCCUACGGGAGGCAGCAGUGGGGAAUAUUGGACAAUGGGCGAAAGCCUGAUCCAGCAAUGCCGCGUGAGUGAUGAAGGCCUUAGGGUUGUAAAGCUCUUUUACCCGGGAUGAUAAUGACAGUACCGGGAGAAUAAGCUCCGGCUAACUCCGUG